rnacentral:tRNA from 1 species
GGGCCCGUAGCUCAGCUUGGAUAGAGCACUUGCCUUCUAAGCAAGGGGUCGAGAGUUCAAAUCUCUCCGGGCUCG